GAUUAAGCCAUGCAUGUGUAAGUAUAAAUAAGUGUACUUUGAAACUGCGAAUGGCUCAUUAUAUCAGUUAUAGUUUAUUAGAAAGAGUUUACUACUUGGAUAACCGUAGUAAUUCUAGGGCUAAUACAUGAAUGAAUCCUCGACUUUGAAGAGGUGUGUUUAUUAGUAUGAAAACCAUAUGCUUUAGCAUAAUAGUGAGUAAUAAUAACCUUUCAUAUCGUAUGUUAAUAUAACGAUAGUUCUUUCAAGUUUCUGCCCUAUCAGCUUUCGAUGGUAGUGUAUUGGACUACCAUG
rnacentral:rRNA from 1 species